rnacentral:lncRNA from 1 species
UUUUUUUUUUUUAUCAUAGAUUUAUAUAAGGCAAAAGAAAGACAGCUCAUGUUGCCAUCAAAAAAACGUGAGGAGGAUGACAUAUUGGUGUUGCUGUUGGGACGAGAUUGAGGUAUAAGAAUUUUAGUUUAUUACCGCCGUAAAUUGUUAUGAAUUUUUCGAUAUUAUCAUAUUUUAUGGUUUUAUUAUGCAAAUACAAAUUAGCAUUCUUAGUAGAGACAACAUAUACCUUCUUUGCAUAUGUGGUGUUAGUAUAUUUUAACCCAAAGUAUAUUGUUAAUAUAUGUUCAAAUUAUAUGUUAAAUAUACAAAAAAUUAAGAUUUUUAGUACGGAGACUAGUAUAUAAAUAAUUUGGAUGGAAUACAUUACUGACUGAUGCAGCGCAUCUAUUGGUUUAUUAUCGGUUAGGGGUUAAACCGAGAGUCUUGGUGUUUUGGUCGUUGCUAGGAUUUGUCGUUAUCUUAUAAGU